AGGUACUAUAAAGGUUCAGGUGUGGUAUAAAGGUUCAGGUGUGGUGGUGAUGUACUAUAAAGGUGUGGUGAUGUAUUAUAAAGGUUCAGGUGU
rnacentral:lncRNA from 1 species